UACGUAGGGCGCGAGCGUUGUCCGGAAUUAUUGGGCGUAAAGAGCUCGUAGGCGGCCUGUCGCGUCGGUUGUGAAAGCCCGGGGCUCAACCCCGGGUCUGCAGUCGAUACGGGCAGGCUAGAGUUCGGUAGGGGAGAUCGGAAUUCCUGGUGUAGCGGUGAAGUGCGCAGAUAUCAGGAGGAACACCGGUGGCGAAGGCGGAUCUCUGGGCCGAUACUGACGCUGAGGCGCGAAAGCGUGGGGAGCAAACAGG
rnacentral:rRNA from 1 species